CACGUAGGGUGCGAGCGUUGUCCGGAAUUAUUGGGCGUAAAGAGCUCGUAGGCGGUGUGUCGCGUCGGCCGUGAAAACCUGCAGCUUAACUGUGGGCUUGCGGUCGAUACGGGCAUCACUGGAGUUCGGCAGGGGAGACUGGAAUUCCUGGUGUAGCGGUGAAAUGCGCAGAUAUCAGGAGGAACACCGGUGGCGAAGGCGGGUCUCUGGGCCGAUACUGACGCUGGAGGCG
rnacentral:rRNA from 1 species